rnacentral:rRNA from 1 species
CAGUCGCCACGGUAAUACAGAGGGUGCGAGCGUUAAUCGGAUUUACUGGGCGUAAAGCGUGUGUAGGCGGCUUUUUAAGUCGGAUGUGAAAUCCCUGAGCUUAACUUAGGAAUUGCAUUCGAUACUGGGAAGCUAGAGUAUGGGAGAGGAUGGUAGAAUUCCAGGUGUAGCGGUGAAAUGCGUAGAGAUCUGGAGGAAUACCGAUGGCGAAGGCAGCCAUCUGGCCUAAUACUGACGCUGAGGUACGAAAGCAUGGGGAGCAAACAGGAUUAGAUACCCCGGUAGUCCCUGUCUCUUAUAC